rnacentral:rRNA from 1 species
GACGAACGCUGGCGGCGUGCUUAACACAUGCAAGUCGAGCGGAAAGGCCACUUCGGUGGUACUCGAGCGGCGAACGGGUGAGUAACACGUGAGUAAUCUGCCCCUGGCUUUGGGAUAGCCACCGGAAACGGUGAUUAAUACCGGAUAUGACACAUUCUCGCAUGAGUUUGUGUGGAAAGUUUUUCGGCCAGGGAUGUGCUCGCGGCCUAUCAGCUUGAUGGUGAGGUAAUGGCCCACCAUGGCUUCGACGGGUAGCCGGCCUGAGAGGGUGACCGGUCACACUGGGACUGAGACACGGCCCAGACUCCUACGGGAGGCAGCAGUGGGGAAUAUUGGACAAUGGGCGGAAGCCUGAUCCAGCAACGCCGCGUGAGGGAUGACGGCCUUCGGGUUGUAAACCUCUUUCAGUACCGACGAAGCGCAAGUGACGGUAGGUACAGAAGAAGCACCGGCCAACUACGUG